rnacentral:rRNA from 1 species
CGUGUAGGCGGCCAAUUAAGUCAGACGUGAAAGCUUUGGGCUUAACCCAAAGACUGCGUUUGAAACUGGAUGGCUUGAGGAUCGGAGAGGGCAGUGGAAUUCCCAGUGUAGCGGUGAAAUGCGUAGAUAUUGGGAGGAACACCAGUGGCGAAGGCGACUGCCUGGACGACACCUGACGCUGAGGCGCGAAAGCUAGGGGAGCAAACGGGAUUAGAUACCCCGGUAGUCCUAGCCGUAAACGAUGGGUACUAGGUGUGGGAGGUAUCGACCCCUUCCGUGCCGUAGUUAACACAAUAAGUACCCCGCCUGGGGAGUACGGCCGCAAGGUUGAA